GUCCGAAUAGGGCGUCCAGUCGCUGGGUGUAGACCCGAAACCAAGUGAUCUAUCCAUGGCCAGGAUGAAGGUGCCGUAACAGGUACUGGAGGUCCGAACCGACUAGUGUUGCAAAACUAGCGGAUGAGCUGUGGAUAGGGGUGAAAGGCUAAACAAACUUGGAAAUAGCUGGUUCUCUCCGAAAACUAUUUAGGUAGUGCCUCAAGUAUUACCUGCGGGGGUAGAGCACUGUUUAGGCUAGGGGGUCAUGGCGACUUACCAAACCUAUGCAAACUCCGAAUACCGCAGAGUACAGCUUGGGAGACAGAGCACCGGGUGCUAACGUCCGGACU
rnacentral:rRNA from 1 species